rnacentral:rRNA from 1 species
AUGUACAUUCUUACAUAAUAGCAUUAAUUCACCAGAUCCCAUUGGAAAUUCAUAGUUAAGUGUGUUCAGAAUAGAUUAGUAUUAGGAUGGGUGACCUCCCUUGAAUUCCUAGUGUUUUACAUG